GAAAUGCGAUAAGUAGUGUGAAUUGCAGAAUUCAGUGAAUCAUCGAAUCUUUGAACGCACAUUGCGCCCUUUGGUAUUCCUUAGGGCAUGCCUGUUCGAGCGUCAUCUAAACCUUCAAGCCCUGCUUGGUGUUGGGUGCCUGUCCCGCCUCCGCGCGCGGACUCACCUCAAAUCCACUGGCGGCCCCCGCGUCGGCCACGAGCGCAGCAGAAACGCGAACUCGUGAGCCCGUCCGGGCGGCUCCCAGAAGCUACACCCACCCAGUUUGACCUCGGAUCAGGUAGGGAUACCCGCUGAACUUAAGC
rnacentral:misc_RNA from 1 species